UCUCGGGAUGGGAUUCCAGUAGCUCCUCUGACCCUCCACGGCAGACUCGGCAGCAGGGAGAUGAAGAGAGA